CUGAACCCGCAACCUCAUGGUUCCUAGUCGGAUUCGUUAACCACUGUGCCACGACGGUAACUCCAGCUUUUUUUUUUUUUAAAUAAAAAUCUGUGUUGGUCCCAGUUCUGGCUGCCUUCAUGACUGCACUGCAGUGCACCACAAGGACAUGUGUAAGAAUGCUGAGAGCAGCGUUAUUUAUAAUUAAGCCUUAGCCAGAAACAAUCCAGUGUGCAAUGACAGUAGAAUGGGUCAGUUGUGGUUUACUCCUACAAUGGACUACUAUACAGCUAAGAACAUGAAUAUAGAUAGCAUUGUCAUUGAUAGCAACCUUGGCAAAUCUUAGAAACAUACUACUGCUUGAAAGAAGGCAGGUGAGAAAGAGUAUAUAAAAUGAUUCCAUUCAUAUAAAAUUCAUGAAUAUGCAAAAUAAAUCUAUGGCCUUAGAAGUCAGUGCAUUUAGAGAGGAAGCAGUUACUGGGAGGGGCCGUGGCUGGUGCACUUGGGGGUACUGGUAAUAUCCUCCUUAUUGAUACGAGUGAUGGCUCAGUGGCUUGAACUGUAUACUCAUGAUUUGUAUACUUGUUGUUAGGACAUUAUACCUUAGCGUCAAUGUUUGUUUAAAAAAAGAUUAUUGGGUAACUGUAAGAAUCCCUGGGAAGCCUGGAGAAUCAGACUUGCAGCUGAGCUCCUGGCAAUGAGGUUGGCAACUGCAGAAUUGAGGUGAUGAGGAAACUGCCCCCUCUGAGCACGAGAUGUAACAUGACCCCUCCUGCACCAGCAACUCCCUCUGGCUGCAGGGGCGCCGAUGCCCCACCACCAUUGCCUCUUCAACAAACGCAACUUUGUAGCCACUGCUGCCUCUGGGGAUCAUGGAUGUUGCUGGGUGUUUCCCUCCUCACCCUUCUUUUACUUCUAUUCUGAGAGCUCCCCCUGGCUGUGCUUGAUUUGCGGAGCGGGUGCUUAUUCCAGCUGCAAGGGAGGAUGGCAAAGUGAGAUGCUAACUUCUGUGUUGAGGUAGAAGCCAGGGACUCCGCAAACGUAAGAAGACUGCCAACAGGAGUGGAACGGCCACAAAGCAAGCAAGGGUCCACUGUGCUCAUGGUUCAAACCAAGGCCUUUUGGGGACAUCACCUUCUUCUCUAGUGGCCCUAAUGGUGUAUGGAUACUGUCUCUUGGUGUUCGGUUCUAUACUUGCCUUUUGAUACUUUUUCCUGUGCUACCACGUCUGAAGAACUCUGUUUUCCAGACUCUCUUGCAACUGGGUUCCUGUUCAGUUUUGCAAUGAAAGGCACCUGUGUGAGAUCAGAAGGUAGACGGUGUUUAUCCUCUGCCAGCAGCGCUGCGGCGCCCGGGCCCAGAGGCUCUGGGGAGUCAAUCCCGCAGUGGCUUGGCGCCUUGCUCUGCUGGGGAUACGAAGGUGGAAGAGACUUGGUCUCUGCCCUGAAGGAGCCCUAAUGGGAGGCCAGCAUGCCGUCCAGCGAUCCCAAUCCAGACUCAGAGAUGCAAAGAAGAGUAUAUCAUGAAUCCAUCAGGGAAGACCCGGGAGAAGGAUGGGACUAUCACUUCUUCUCUGGCUCAAAGAGAAUGUGACGAAGAGUCCCGCAUCGCCGGUCACCUGUUUUGACAGUCCCACCUGCACUGCCGGACCUCACCAGGAUAGAAGACGAAGCGUGUGGUUGUAUCGGAUCUGCGGCAGGAGACUGCAGCACGCCAGCGCAGCACAGGACUCUGGGUAGUGGUCAUGGGGCAGAGUGGAAAGAGCCGUGGAGUUGGAGGAAGCCGGAACCCGGGUCAGCCGCUUCCCAGCCGUGUGCCAAGGUCAGUAACUUAACCUCCCUGAGCCUCUUUUCCGAUUCACGACCCCCGGCUGCUGGGAGGGGAAGAGGUGAGGUGUAAAGCAUACGGGGGCUCCAGAAAUAUUGCUUCAUUUUUCUUGGAGGAAAGCCAGGUGCAAAUGAGGGCUUUAGGUGUAAGUGAGCUCACCUGUGUGUGUGUGUGUGCACGCGCAUGCGAAUACACGCUUGUUCUCUCAUACAGAAAACUGAACCCUGUCUCUUUAAGGAAUUGACAAACUUGCUUUUUAGGUAAACCUCAGGAUUAAGGUGGUUCUUCAUCUGGCAGGUUUUUAAAUUUAUUUAUUAUUUAUUUAUGCAUGCAUGCAUGUUUUUUAGGGCUGCACCUGAGUUCCCAGGCUAGGGGUUAAGUCGGAUCCCACGUUGC